rnacentral:rRNA from 1 species
GAUGAACGCUGGCGGCGUGCCUAAUACAUGCAAGUCGAGCGAACAGACGAGGAGCUUGCUCCUCUUACGUUAGCGGCGGACGGGUGAGUAACACGUGGAUAACCUACCUAUAAGACUGGGGUAACUUCCGGAAACCGGAGCUAAUACCGGAUAAUAUAUUGAACAACAUGGUUCAAUAGUAAAAGACGGUUUUGCUGUCACUUAUAGAUGGAUCCGCGCUGCAUUAGCUAGUUGGUAAGGUAACGGCUUACCAAGGCGACGAUGCGUAGCCGACCUGAGAGGGUGAUCGGCCACACUGGAACUGAGACACGGUCCAGACUCCUACGGGAGGCAGCAGUAGGGAAUCUUCCGCAAUGGGCGAAAGCCUGAUGGAGCAACGCCGCGUGAGUGAAGAAGGUCUUCGGAUCGUAAAACUCUGUUAUUAGGGAAGAACAAAUGUGUAAGUAACUAUGCACGUCUUGACGGUACCUAAUCAGAAAGCCACGGCUAACUACGUG